rnacentral:rRNA from 1 species
AACGAACGCUGGCGGCAUGCCUAACACAUGCAAGUCGAACGGACCCUUCGGGGUCAGUGGCGCACGGGUGCGUAACGCGUGGGAAUCUGCCCUCUGGUUCGGAAUAACUCAGGGAAACUUGAGCUAAUACCGGAUAAUGACUUCGGUCCAAAGAUUUAUCGCCAGAGGAUGAGCCCGCGUCGGAUUAGCUAGUUGGUGAGGUAAAAGCUCACCAAGGCGACGAUCCGUAGCUGGUCUGAGAGGAUGAUCAGCCACGCUGGGACUGAGACACGGCCCAGACUCCUACGGGAGGCUGCAGUGGGGAAUAUUGGACAAUGGGCGAAAGCCUGAUCCAGCAAUGCCGCGUGAGUGAUGAAGGCCUUCGGGUUGUAAAGCUCUUUAGCCGAGGAAUAUAAUGACUGUAGUCGGAGAAUAAGCCCCGGCUAACUUCGUGCCAGCAGCCGCCGUAACAC